GAUGAACGCUGGCGGCGUGCCUAAUACAUGCAAGUCGAGCGAACAGAUCAGGAGCUUGUUCCUUUGACGUUAGCGGCGGACGGGUGAGUAACACGUGGGUAACCUACCUAUAUGACUGGGAUAACUACGGGAAACCGGAGCUAAUACCGGAUAACAUUUGGAACCGCAUGGUUCUAAAGUGAAAGAUGGUUUUGCUAUCACUUAUAGAUGGACCCGCGCCGUAUUAGCUAGUUGGUAAGCUAACGGCUUACCAAGGCAACGAUACGUAGCCGACCUGAGAGGCUGAUCGGCCACACUGGAGCUGAGACACGGUCCAGACUCCUACGAGAGGCAGCAGUAGGGAAUCUUCCGCAAUGGGCGAAAGCCUGACGGAGCAACGCCGCGUGAGUGAUGAAGGGUUUCGGCUCGUAAAACUCUGUUAUUAGGGGAGAACAACAGUGUCAGUAACUGUGCACGUCUUGACGGUACCUGAUCAGAAAGCCACGGCUAACUACGUG
rnacentral:rRNA from 1 species